UGCCCGAUGGUGUAAUGGCAGCACACGGCCCUUUGACGGCCUUGGUCUAGGUUCGAGUCCUAGUUGGGCAACCA
rnacentral:tRNA from 1 species